rnacentral:lncRNA from 1 species
CCAAGGGAUAAUGGCGCCCAUCUGUUCAAACCCGUCCCCGUUUGAUCUGCCACCACACAAGAUCACCCUUAAAAGUCCAAGGCUGAUCCACAUCCACCAACCUCUGCAGCUGUUAAUUGCCUCAGUCUUUACAAACUAGAAGAUGAUGAAUUAUUAAACGUGUUUCACACUAAUGACAUGAAUUUGUCCAAAACAAAAAAUAAAAAACCAAAAACAAAAAAUAAAAAUAAAAAAAAGAACAAAAAGAGAAAUUUUUAUCCUAUUGCAUGAUUAUCAUCAAGUAUACAAUAAGAUCAAUAAUAAAACUAAAAUUUAUCAAAACUCACACCCAAUAAUUAAAUCCUAGCUUCGUGCAAUGUUUAUCCUAUAUUCUUUCCGGCUAAAACCCUAAGAGCACUUAUAGAGAAAACAAGUAUCUUUUUUUUUCAUCGAUGGAUGAUGAUUUUAAAGUUUUAAAUCCUCAAACCAAGAUAUGAAUUGACUUAUGCAAUUUUUUUUGUUUGAUUUCAAUUUUUUUAGACUUGAGAAGAAAGGUUUUUAGGUUUAAAUUUACAACCAUCAACACUAGAAGUUGAAAAGAUGAGUUACUGUGUUUCACUAUGUAAAUGGUGGUGAAACUUCCCCAGCCAAUUUGGUUUCCUCGAAUCCACUCCAUCACCAUGGUUGAAAAUCUAGGGCUAACCUAAAGAAACAACGAUACCACUUACGGAAAUACAUGAGCAUGUUGUUUGCUACCACUUACCUUAGAUCAUGGAAUAAUUUAAAGUUGGUUCAUUAGGAGGCAGCAGAUAACACAACAAAGAGACACCAAAAUACAAACAAAUUAGCAACAACAACUAGGGGUGGUUCGGUAUGGGAUCCCAUACCGAAACCCUUGUUCCAAUUCCCAAACCGAAAUUUUCGGGAAUCCCAAUUUCAAUACCGAUCCCAAACCAAAUUUUCGGGAAUCCUAAUUUUUGGGAAUCCCGAAAUAGUUUCGGGAUUUCGGGACAAAUCGGGAAUCCCGAAAUGCUUUUGGGCUUUUGGGCUUUUGGACUAAAAUUUGACAUAUUAUGCUUUUGAGCUCAAUUUGCCAAUUUGUUUCUACUAAUCUGCCAAUCAAAUGGCAAGGCAUGUUUGUACUAAUUUGUGCACAAAUUUGAGUCCGUGUACACCAGUAAGUAAAAAUGGAUUUAAUAAUGGAUGGAAGGAAAAAGAAAGUCUGUGUACACCAGUAAGUACAAUUGUAGCAUAAAAAAUAAUACGCCAGCUUAAAUUUCUAUAUAGCACAUGAAUCUUUCAUCUCAAUGCAUAUGUGAACCAUCCAGAUGAAGAAUUAUUAAGGAGGGGCAAGGUAUCAAAUAAUCAAAUUUAUAUUCAAUGGUUGAGAUUAAAUCUCAACAGAAUUCGACAGCUAUUAAAAAUCUAAAUAUAUAUUUAAAAAUUAAACAAUAUAUAUAUAAAUUUUUUUUUUGGUUCGGUUUGGGAAUACCAAAAUCCCAAAAACUUGAGACCGAUUCCCGUACCGAAAUUUCGGGAUCGGUUCGGUAUUGGGUACAGAAAUUUUCGGGAAUUUCGGUUUGGGAUUUUUUUGGUUUGGUUUCGGGAAUUUUUUGGUUCGGUUUGGGAUUUUUGGGAUUUUUUUCCAGCCCUAACAACAACCAUGGCACAUCAUCUUAAAGAAAUUCUAUGAAUUUCUACACGCCAUAAUGGUGUACUACAUCAACUACGACGUAAUGCUGUAUUACAUUAACAAAAUGGAUGCAAAAAUAAUUUACAUGUGGAAUUGAGUUUGUGAGGUUGAUUAGGUAAUAUAUUUGGGUUUAAAAAGAUAUUAGUUUUUUAAUUAAAAAUAAUAUGGGUGUAGAGAGUUAGUUUGGUGUAGAAAGAGGUUAUAAGCGUUCAAAUAAAAUUUCCCAAACCAUGACACGAAUAACCUAUUUAAUUCUUAGACGUAUAAAUUUGACAAGUCACACAAUAAGUCAGUCAUAAUAAUAUGAUACGAACUUGCCUUUAUGAUAAUCAAAUUUAAAACUUUUCACUUAAAAAUGAAUAUCACUAAACCAUAAUGUACAUAUAUUAUGUUCCAACUCCGUCGGUGAUUAAUCUAACAU